rnacentral:lncRNA from 1 species
AAGUAGUUUAUUUUUUUAUGUUUUUUUUUACUCUGAUAAACAUCUUUGUUCAUAUGUUAAUCAGUUUUUCCUUUUGCUUUGACCAAAAUAUCAAACAAAAACAACUGAGAAGAGAAAAAGUUUAUUUUGGACUCACAGUCUCAAACCCCAAGUGACCUAUUUCCUUUAGCCACACCCUACUGCCUAUAGUUACCACUCAGUGGUCCAUUUAAAUUAUUUAUUCAUCAAAUGAUUACUCUACUGAUGAAGUUAGUUUUCAUGAUCUAAUCAUUUCACCUCUGAACAUUCCUACAUUGCCUACCACAGAGCUUUUGGGAGGACACCUCAUAUCCAGACCAUAACAAUUCACAAUUGUUUAUUCACCUUUUGAUUACGUCUUAAGAACCAAUUAUAAGAAAUAGAAUUAUGUUCCGGUGUGGUGGUACAUGCCUGUAAUCCCAGUGGCUUGGGAGGCUGAGGCAGGAGGAUCACAAGUUCAAAGCUAGCCUCAGCAACUUAGUGAGUCCCUAAGCAACUCAGUGAGACCCCAUCUCUAAAUAAAAAAUAAAAAGGGCUGGGGAUUUGGCUUAGUGAUUAAGCACCCCUGGGUUCAAUCCCUGGUACCAAAAAAAGAAAAGAAAAUGAAUAGAAUUAUGGGUUAAGAAUCUCAACUUGUGUUUUUUUUUUUUUGGUGCUGGGGAUCUAAUUCAGGGGCACUUUACCACCUAGCUACAUUCCCAGCCUUUUCUUUCUUUCUUUUUUAAUAUUUAUUUCUAGUUGUAGUUGGACACAAUACCUUUAUUUUAUUUAUUUAUUUGUUUGUUUUUAUGUGUUGCUGAGGAUCGAAUCCAGGGCCUAACACGUGCUAGGAAAACGCUCUAUCGCUGAACCACAAUCCCAGCCCUCAUCCCCAGCCCUUUUUAUAUUUUGAGACAGAGUCUCACUAAAUUGCUGAGAGUCUCACUAAGUGGCUGAGGCUGGCCUCAAACUUGAUCUUCCUGUCUUGGCCUCCCAAAUUGCUGGAAUUAUAGGCAUGUGCUAUCACACCAGGCAAAUCUCAAUAUUUAUUAUAGUUUUUCUUGCAUAUUGAUAAAGAAUCAAAAGAUGGCAUUGGUUUUUGUUUCUUUUUCUCCCAUGUUGAAGUUUUUUUUAUUGUAA